GCGGUUAGGCUUCGUAGGUGACCUGCGGAAGGAUCAUUACCGAGUGAGGGCCCUCUGGGUCCAACCUCCCACCCGUGUUUAUUUUACCUUGUUGCUUCGGCGGGCCCGCCUUAACUGGCCGCCGGGGGGCUUACGCCCCCGGGCCCGCGCCCGCCGAAGACACCCUCGAACUCUGUCUGAAGAUUGUAGUCUGAGUGAAAAUAUAAAUUAUUUAAAACUUUCAACAACGGAUCUCUUGGUUCCGGCAUCGAUGAAGAACGCAGCGAAAUGCGAUACGUAAUGUGAAUUGCAAAUUCAGUGAAUCAUCGAGUCUUUGAACGCACAUUGCGCCCCCUGGUAUUCCGGGGGGCAUGCCUGUCCGAGCGUCAUUUCUGCCCUCAAGCACGGCUUGUGUGUUGGGCCCCGUCCUCCGAUCCCGGGGGACGGGCCCGAAAGGCAGCGGCGGCACCGCGUCCGGUCCUCGAGCGUAUGGGGCUUUGUCACCCGCUCUGUAGGCCCGGCCGGCGCUUGCCGAUCAACCCAAAUUUUUAUCCAGGUUGACCUCGGAUCAGGUAGGGAUACCCGCUGAACUUAAGCAUAUCAAAG
rnacentral:rRNA from 1 species